UACGGAGGGUGCAAGCGUUACCCGGAAUCACUGGGCGUAAAGGGCGUGUAGGCGGGAUGUUAAGUCUGGGUUUAAAGACAGAAGCUCAACUUCUGGAUUGGCUUGGAUACUGGCAUUCUAGACGACUGGAGGGGAGAGUGGAAUUCUCGGUGUAGCGGUGGAAUGCGUAGAUACCGAGAGGAACACCAGUGGCGAAGGCGGCUCUCUGGACAGUGCGUGACGCUGAGGCGCGAAAGUGUGGGGAGCGAACCGG
rnacentral:rRNA from 1 species